rnacentral:tRNA from 1 species
CAUUAAGAAGCUAUGCAUCAGCACUAGCCUUUUAAGCUAGAGAGAGGGGACCAUCAAGCCCCCUUAAUGA